AUACGCUGGCGGCAGGCUACACUGCAGUUGAACGGUACAGGAUAGCUUGCUAUCGCUGACGAGUGGCGGACGGGUGAGUAAUACUUAGGGAUCUUGCCUCUGUGUGGGGGAUAACUACUUGGAAACGAUAGCUAAUACCGCAUAAUGUCUACGGACCAAAGCGGGCUUCGGCUCGUGCGCAGAGAGGAACCUAAGCGAGAUUAGCUAGUUGGUGAGGUAAAGGCUCACCAAGGCGACGAUCUCUAGCUGUUCUGAGAGUGAAGAUCAGCCACACUGGAACUGAGACACGGUCCAGACUCCUACGGGAGGCAUGCAGUGGGGAAUAUUGCACAAUGGGGGAAACCCUGAUGCAGCCAUGCCGCGUGUGUGAAGAAGGCCUUCGGGUUGUAAAGCACUUUCAGUUGUGAGGAAAGUUUAGUAGUUAAUACCUGCUAGAUGUGACGUUAGCAACAGAAGAAGCACCGGCUAACUCCAGUGCCCAGCAGCCGCGGUAAUACGGAGGGUGCGAGCGUUAAUCGGACAUUACUGGGCGUACAAGCGCACGCAGGCAGGUCUGUUAAGCUAGAUGUGAAAGGCCCCGCGCUCAACGUGGGAGGGUCAUUUA
rnacentral:rRNA from 1 species